rnacentral:rRNA from 1 species
UACGAAGGUCCCGAGCGUUAUCCGGAUUUAUUGGGUUUAAAGGGUGCGUAGGCGGGUUAUUAAGUCAGUGGUGAAAGCCUUCAGCUUAACUGAAGAACUGCCAUUGAUACUGAUGAUCUUGAGUAUGAUUGAGGUGGGCGGAAUGUGUCAUGUAGCGGUGAAAUGCAUAGAUAUGACCCGGAACACCGAUUGCGAAGGCAGCCCACUAAGCAACGAUUGACGCUGAGGCACGAAAGCGUGGGGAUCAAACAGG